AGGUAAGUAAUUUUAAUUCAUAGAAUUAAUUUUUGUGAAUAAUUUCUUUUAUUUUUUUUUUCUUGUAUUUUUUUUUAUUAAAAGAAAAAGAAAAAAAAAGUGAAUCUACAUUUAAAGGUUAGUAUUUCUUUUCUUUUUCUCUUUUUUAAAAUUCUGUAAUUUAAUUUUCAAUUUAUUUUUCUUUGUAAUUUUUUUUUGUUUAUCUUAUUAAUUUAUUUUUAGUUAAUUUAUUUCACGUAUUUGUUUUUGUGUAUUUUUAUAGAAAGGUUGUAAUAGCGCAAUAAGGUUAGUAUCAUAAUUUCUCCCUUAUCUUUAUUUUUUAUUUGUUUUGUUCCCAUCUUUAUUUUUUGUUUUGUUUGCAUCUUUAUUUUUAUUUUAUUUAUUUGCAUGCAUGGUCGUAGGUCAUUAUUACCUAAUCUUGAACCUAUAGACCUUGAA
rnacentral:lncRNA from 1 species